AUGUUAGUUGUGAGAGGGGUGGAGGUAAGACACCUGUCGAGGGAGGUGGGGAUUCAUUAGUAUUCAUUAUACAUUUCCCACCAGUUUCUGAGCAGAGCGGAGAGAGGAGGGGCACCAUCCAUCUCCUCCACAGAGAUACACACAGACGCUGAAACAGAGAGGUGUGUGAUGUCAUAGAAGAGGCCAAACGAAGCGUCAGACUGCAUGAGAAUCAGCACAAGAUUUUGGUGCAGACGUUGAAUUUCCUCCUCUAAGAAAGAAAAUCAUACUUGUUUGUAAUGACAUGAGGGUGAGUAAAUGAGUCAACUUUUCUUUUAAGAUGUCCUGUCAGCAUAGAGAACACUCGUUGCCAUUCAGGUCCUGUUUUGAGCGGCUGGGAGGUUUGCAGCAGCAGAUGGGCUGUCCCGCUGUGUGCCUGAUUGAAACACAGAAGCUGGAGCCGACUCAUAACAACAUCACCAGCUCCUGUCAGCUCCAGCCAGGGAACAAAUCAGCCUUCCUGCGGCUCUGCUGCAGGGAACAUGACUCUGCUCAGAGGAAAAAAUGAUAGUCAUGAAAACCAAAGCUGGAGUUGCAGAUGGCAGGUGUAUGUGGAGAGCAUCUGCAGACUGCACUGCGAAUAUUGAAGAACUGAUUAUAUAAGCUGGCUCAAAUAGACUGGUCACUACUGAUCACGUGUUUGAAGUUAAAAACUCAGGUUAAUGAGGUCACACUUGGAUCACAGUUUUAUAUAGUAAAACUGAUUACGUGGUUUAUGUAAUCAGAUUCCAAAAUUGAGUACUCGUAAUUGACCCUUCACAAAAACCCACCCUCCUUAGUUACUGUUGCUAUGUCCGACAAGCCAAGCUGCUCACACCACACAUCAUGUUCCCACGCAGUGAAAAAUACAUUGUAAAGCAAAGAGGAAACUGACAACAUGCCCACAGACAAGACAAAGCAGGUUACUUCUCACAUGAAACAAGGUCUCAGCUUUUGAAUUUUGACAUUUUUUAAAGAAAUUCAAACAAUAAGUAACGUUUUGUGGCUCUUUAAUGUGUUGUGACAGAUCACUGUUGCGCCUCAGUUCAAAGCAUGAAAUAAACAUGAAUGAAC
ensembl:lncRNA